GUGAGUAACACGUGGGCAAUCUGCCCUUCACUCUGGGACAAGCCCUGGAAACGGGGUCUAAUACCGGAUAAUACUUUCCUCCUCCUGGAGGAAGGUUGAAAGCUCCGGCGGUGAAGGAUGAGCCCGCGGCCUAUCAGCUAGUUGGUGGGGUAAUGGCCUACCAAGGCGACGACGGGUAGCCGGCCUGAGAGGGCGACCGGCCACACUGGGACUGAGACACGGCCCAGACUCCUACGGGAGGCAGCAGUGGGGAAUAUUGCACAAUGGGCGAAAGCCUGAUGCAGCGACGCCGCGUGAGGGAUGACGGCCUUCGGGUUGUAAACCUCUUUCAGCAGGGAAGAAGCGAAAGUGACGGUACCUGCAGAAGAAGCGCCGGCUAACUACGUGCCAGCAGCCGCGGUAAUACGUAGGGCGCAAGCGUUGUCCGGAAUUAUUGGGCGUAAAGAGCUCGUAGGCGGCUUGUCACGUCGGUUGUGAAAGCCCGGGGCUUAACCCCGGGUCUGCAGUCGAUACGGGCAGGCUAGAGUGUGGUAGGGGAGAUCGGAAUUCCUGGUGUAGCGGUGAAAUGCGCAGAUAUCAGGAGGAACACCGGUGGCGAAGGCGGAUCUCUGGGCCAUUACUGACGCUGAGGAGCGAAAGCGUGGGGAGCGAACAGGAUUAGAUACCCUGGUAGUCCACGCCGUAAACGUUGGGAACUAGGUGUUGGCGACAUUCCACGUCGUCGGUGCCGCAGCUAACGCA
rnacentral:rRNA from 1 species